rnacentral:lncRNA from 1 species
UGGUCAAUACCGACGGAUUUUUAAAAUUUUUUUUUUGGAUUUUAACUUUCUUAUAGUUGAUUGAUCACUAUGGAAAAUUUCAAGUCAAAUGUAUUAUCGGUUCAAAAGUUAUUCAAAUGUCAAUAAUGCUAUCAUUUUUAGUGCCAAUUCGCCGCAAAAUUUCCCAUACUUAAGCCCUAUACCCUAUAUAAGCCCUAUACCUUUUGUCAAAAAAUCACCCGUUUUUUUAACUUCAAAAAGUUUAAUAACUUUUGAUCCGCUUAACUUCAAAGGUCGAAUAACCCCUCAUUUUUUAAGUCAAACCAAGUUCUACACAAUGGCAUUAAUUAUAUAUGAAUAUUUAACUUAUAAAAAAAUCGUGUGGAAAUGCUAUCCAAGGUGAUAUUGUUUCUUCAUGGCGCAAAAUUUUCAGUGGUGUUCCGCAAGGAUCCGUAAUAGGACCCUUAUUAUUUGUUAUUUUUAUUAAUGAUAUAUCAAAUAUAUUUAAAAAUAAGUCAGAAUUGUAUGUAGAUGAUACAAAAAUUCUUUCAAAAGUGAAUGAAAUAAAUGUUGAAAACAGCUUGCAAAAAAAUCUGGAUAGUGCAGAGGAAUGGUCUAAAAAGUGUCUCUAAGGUUUUAAUUCUAGUAAAUGUGUUAUAAUGCAUUAUGGUAUAAAUAAUCCGCGAUUGAAAUAUACUUUAAAUGGUAUUGAACUGAAAGAUUCUGAAUGCGAGAAAAAAUUUAGGUGAAUAUUUUUCAACAAACUUGAAAUGGAAAAAACAAAUUAUAUCAAUUAUUUCUAAAGCAAAUUCAAUGAUGGGUAUGUUAAAGAUGACAUUUUCACGAAUUGAUGCAAAAUUAGUUAAAAAUUUGUAUAAGGUAUUUACUAGACCUCUUAUUGAGUUUACAGUGCCUGUUUGGUUACCUCAUUUUAAAUGAGACAUCACUUUUGGAAAAAGUUCAACGCAGGAUGACUAGAUUAGUUCCAUCAUUAAAGAAAAUUAAUUAUGAAAAGAGAUUGGAAAUAUUAGAUAUAUCUACAUUGAAAACAAGGAGGGUUUAAUACAAGUGUUUAAAUUACUGAACAGAUUUGAGGAAAUUGAUUUAAUUAAUGAACCGAAGCUUAAAAUUGAUUCAAUUACUCGACGUCACAAUCUUAAAUAUAAGAGAAAUUGUGAACUAUUUACCUUGGCAUCAUUUUUUAUUAAAUUGUACAGCGAAUUAAUGGAACGCUUUACCGGAAACUGUUGUUACUUCAAAAACUGUCAAUCAAUUUAAGAAUAGAUUAGAUAAGUAUAAUGCCAAAUCACAGAAAUUUUAACUAAACAUUUUUAAAUAUAUAUUUGGAUUAAUGAUUAACCACACUCGCUGGAUUCGUACAGUUACAGUUUAACUACUAACUAACUAACUAACUCAUAACUUAAACCAUCCCUAACUUUGGCUAAACUUAUAUAUCAUUCGUUUUCUUUCAAUCAAAAUCGUCACAAUAUUUUAAAGGAUUUUAGAAAUAAGAUCUGUAUAAAGGUGCCCAUCUUAAAAUUCGCUUUUUAAAAUGUUUUUUCAAUAUUACCUUGAAAUUUUUAAAAUUAUGGUAACUUAUCUAUCGUUAAAAUCAUGUUAGUUUAUUAAAAAGUUCUUCACCUUCAAAAUAAGAUUUUUGUUUUUCUGGUAUGUUGUACACAUCGUUUAUUUGGCAUUUACUUAAGGUUUUUAUUAUAAUAGGUGUAAGGAAUAAAAUACUUACUCCUUAAGGCUUGUAUUACAUUAGGUGUAUGAUGUUUCAUAAAAAGUUGGCUUAUUGCAUUGGAUUUGCAGUUUACCUCAAAAAUGCGAAAUACAGUUAACCCAACAAUACAUACUGAAUGAGUCUGGAAAUCAGUUUUAAAAGUUUAUGAGUUUCUUGUACUCUCAGUUCCAACAUAGUAUGUUUAAAUGAUAACUGGAAAUAAAGAAAUUGCGAUUCAUGGGUUAAUCUAAAAUACAUGAAAGGAAAAAAAGUUAAAAAAGCUGAGACAUCCACCAAUUGUUUAUUUAUUUUUAUUUUUUAUUUAAAUAAACAAAUCAUUUUUACGUA